GCCCUCGUAGCUCAGGGGAUAGAGCACCGGUUUCCUAAACCGGUGGUCGCUGGUUCGAAUCCAGCCGGGGGUA
rnacentral:tRNA from 1 species